GGACAGAUGGCCGAGAUGGUUAUGGCGCCAGGUUAAGGUUAUACCUUAAUAAUCAUGUGAUUCUUUCACUUGUUGUUUCCUGGUCACGAAAGUGGCGUGGGUUCGAGUCCCACUCUGUUCA
rnacentral:tRNA from 1 species